CGUAGGGCGCAAGCGUUGUCCGGAAUUAUUGGGCGUAAAGAGCUCGUAGGCGGCUUGUCACGUCGGAUGUGAAAGCCCGGGGCUUAACCCCGGGUCUGCAUUCGAUACGGGCUAGCUAGAGUGUGGUAGGGGAGAUCGGAGUUCCUGGUGUAGCGGUGAAAUGCGCAGAUAUCAGGAGGAACACCGGUGGCGAAGGCGGAUCUCUGGGCCAUUACUGACGCUGAGGAGCGAAAGCGUGGGGAGCGAACAGGAUUAGAUACCCUGGUAGUCCACGCCGUAAACGUUGGGAACUAGGUGUUGGCGACAUUCCACGUCGUCGGUGCCGCAGCUAACGCAUUAAGUUCCCCGCCUGGGGAGUACGGCCGCAAGGCUA
rnacentral:rRNA from 1 species